UCCGGUUUGGUGAACUGUGGGAGUUUGGGAAGAGUCGUGCCCAGUGCGAGCGUGCGAGCCCUGCACCCUCUCCCCGUGACCUUGCCCUAAGCAUCUCUUCCACCGGCUGUUCCGGAAUUCUCUCCCUUUACAGCAAAAACAGUCAUCCGGAGUUAUAUACUGAAUAAUUUACGAAAGAUCUCCACAGCUCGGCUUUAAAGGAAAAGACCAGCCCCAAGCACCGGGCACAAGGUCCGCGCGUGAGCAAAGCCCUCUUUCCGAGACUUACUUCGCGCGCCUGGAGAGUCAAAUUGGGCGCGGGGAGACGGAAAUACGUAAGGCGUAGUCCGGUGACCGCGUAGACAUCGAAGGCAGCCGAAUGGAGGAGGUGCCUCAGGGCUGUCCCGGGACCGGCAGCGCCCAGGCGGGCCGAGGGGCCUCAUGUCAGGGCUGCCCCAACCAGCGGCUCUGCGCUUCCGGAGCCGGCGCCGCUCCUGACCCAGCCAUAGAAGAAAUCAAAGAAAAAAUGAAGACCGUGAAACACAAAAUCUUGGUAUUAUCUGGGAAAGGUGGCGUUGGAAAAAGCACAUUCAGUGCCCACCUUGCCCAUGGCCUAGCAGAGGAUGAAAACACACAGGUCGCUCUUCUGGACAUUGAUAUAUGUGGGCCGUCAAUUCCCAAGAUAAUGGGCUUGGAAGGAGAACAGGUUCACCAGAGUGGCUCGGGCUGGUCUCCAGUGUUCGUGGAAGACAACCUGGGGGUGAUGUCAGUCGGUUUCCUGCUCAGCAGUCCUGACGACGCCGUCAUCUGGAGGGGACCAAAGAAAAAUGGCAUGAUCAAGCAGUUCCUCCGUGACGUGGACUGGGGAGAGGUGGACUACCUCAUCGUGGACACCCCGCCCGGCACGUCAGACGAACACCUGUCGGUCGUGCAGUACCUGUCGGCGGCGCGCCUCGACGGGGCCGUGAUCAUCACCACACCUCAGGAGGUGUCCCUCCAGGAUGUCCGGAAAGAGAUCAACUUCUGCCGCAAGGUGAAGGUGCCCAUCAUCGGAGUGGUGGAGAACAUGAGCGUCUUCGUCUGCCCCAAGUGCAAGAAAGAAUCUCAGAUAUUCCCCCCAACAACGGGGGGUGCAGAGGUCAUGUGCCAGGAUCUGAAGAUCCCGCUCCUGGGGAAAGUGCCUCUGGACCCACACAUAGGUAAGAGUUGCGACAAAGGACAGUCUUUUCUGAUGGACGCACCAGCUUCUGCAGCCGCUCUAGCCUAUAGAAGUAUCAUUCAACGGAUCCAGGAGUUCUGUGGUCACCAUCAGCCCAAAGAAGAGCACCUCGUUGGUUCCUGAGACACGAGCUGCACGUGGAGCGCAGCCUGAGCAGCCCGGGGACAGAGCAGGGGUCUUGGGCAGAAAAGGACCAGACUCUGGCCUGCUUCCGGAAAACGGACAGCUGGUUGGUCAGGGAGUUCUCUGCUGGAAACUUGCGGAAGGACAGAACCUCUUACUUAAGCCACUGCGGCCUCAGGAGAUUCGCCUAAAAAAGAACCAUCUCAAAAUCCAGUCAUGGUUUCGAAUAACAUGGUCCAAAUGCCGCUGCUUUAGAUUGAGGGGAAAAUGCAACCAGCCCCGAAGAGCCCUUCAGUCACCCCUGUAGACAGAACAGGGGGGCCAGGCCCAUGCCCCACACGCUAAGAUGCGUUCACUGCCCAGUAAUUUCUGCCGUCCUAUGAGACCGUUUACAGGGUGGUGGUUUUUUUUUUUUUUUUUUUUUUUUCAUUACAUAAGAG